rnacentral:rRNA from 1 species
UGCGGAAGGAUCAUUACCUAGAGUUGUAGGCUUUGCCUACCAUCUCUUACCCAUGUCUUUUGAGUACCUUCGUUUCCUCGGCGGGUCCGCCCGCCGAUUGGACAAACUUAAACCCUUUGUAAUUGAAAUCAGCGUCUGAAAAAACAUAAUAGUUACAACUUUCAACAACGGAUCUCUUGGUUCUGGCAUCGAUGAAGAACGCAGCGAAAUGCGAUAAGUAGUGUGAAUUGCAGAAUUCAGUGAAUCAUCGAAUCUUUGAACGCACAUUGCGCCCCUUGGUAUUCCAUGGGGCAUGCCUGUUCGAGCGUCAUUUGUACCUUCAAGCUCUGCUUGGUGUUGGGUGUUUGUCUCGCCUUUGCGUGUAGACUCGCCUUAAAACAAUUGGCAGCCGGCGUAUUGAUUUCGGAGCGCAGUACAUCUCGCGCUUUGCACUCAUAACGACGACGUCCAAAAAGUACUUUUUACACUCUUGACCUCGGAUCAGGUAGGGAUACCCGCUGAACUUAAGCAUAUC